AUGGCUUGGGAAGAUCCAUGGCAUAGGCAGCAAGGCAGAUUUACCCUUUCCUUCUUUCCUACCCUCGCCCACCUCUUCACCGGGGGCCCUGGCAGCUACCAGACGCUCCCUACCUGCUCCCACCCCACCCAGGCCCCUUGCCGCCAGCUGCUCCCAGCAUCUUCUUUGAUUAAGAAUCCCCAGAGGCCUCUCGCUGCUUACAGAGCCAAGUUCCAGCUUGUGCGCUGUUUUCCAAAACCUUCACUGCCUGCUGACUUCGCGCCUAGUCAGUUCUGUUUCUCACGGUUUCCCCAAAUGAUCCCACUUCGUGACCAGGAAACACAACUGUCCGUCCUGCUUCCUGCUGUGCUCAAGCUGUCCCCUGCCCAAAAUAGCCUCCUUUGUGCCAUUCCACACCCGGGCCUGCUUGCUCACAAAAUGCUUAAGGUUUCUGCAUUUUGGUGUGGAAAUAUGCAUGCCCUUUGUAGAAAAAUGUGGAUAAUACUCAAGAAUAUAUGAAAAACCGCAAUCUUCUCAGUCCCUUUGGCACAUUUUUUCCCAGUUUCUCUAUAUAUUUACUUACCUAUUUUUUACCUAAUUGAGUUUGGCCAGUAUAUGUCCCUUAUAUCUUGCUUUUUUAUGUUCUUAUAGGCAUUCUUUAUAAACAUUGUCUUUAAUAGCUCCUGAUUUUCAUUAUAUGGAUAUACCAUAAUUUAUUUGGCUGUUCUGUUGUUGAAAAUUAUGGUUGUUUCCAAAAUGUUAUUAUAAAUAAUCCAGUGGUGAGCAUUUUUUAUAUGUAUUUGUGCUGGCAUUUCUAGUUGUUGUCUAAUUCUUAAUUAUUAGAUGCAUAUUAUCUAAUAACAUUCCAAGUUUGUACAAAUUUGCACUCUUGACAGCAGUAUGAGCAUUUCUCUUUACACAAUUUUCAUAAAUCUAAAAUUUGCUUAUUUGAAUGCAAUAAUGAUCAUUUCAUCCACAUGUAUUUGGCUAUUCAUGAGGUAAAACCUUCUAAACAUAUUU
rnacentral:lncRNA from 1 species